UCGAGCCGGAUGAAUUGAAAAAUUCUUGUCCGGUUCCUAGAAGACGGGGCAGGGAGAAAUCCCACCCUGUUAUUCGAC
rfam:Methanosarcina mazei strain Goe1, complete genome.